CAACACGGGGAAACUCACCAGGUCCAGACAAAAUAAGGAUUGACAGAUUGAGAGCUCUUUCUUGAUCUUUUGGAUGGUGGUGCAUGGCCGUUCUUAGUUGGUGGAGUGUUUGUCUGCUUAAUUGCGAUAACGAACGAGACCUCGGCCCUUAAAUAGCCCGGUCCGCGUCUGCGGGCCGCUGGCUUCUUAGGGGGACUAUCGGCUCAAGCCGAUGGAAGUGCGAGGCAAUAACAGGUCUGUGAUGCAAAUUCGGUCUGUGAUGCA
rnacentral:rRNA from 1 species